rnacentral:rRNA from 1 species
UUGGCCUCGGAUCAGGUGGGGAUACCCGCUGAACUUAAGCAUAUCAAUAAG